GACAGAGGGUGCAAACGUUGUUCGGAAUUACUGGGCGUAAAGCGCGUGUAGGCGGCCCUGCAAGUCGGAUGUGAAGUCCCAUGGCUCAACUAUGGAAGUGCAUUCGAAACUGCAGGGCUAGAGUCCUGGAGAGGAAGGUGGAAUGCUUGGUGUAGAGGUGAAAUUCGUAGAUAUCAAGCGGAACACCGGUGGCGAAGGCGGCCUUCUGGACAGUGACUGACGCUGAGACGCGAAAGCGUGGGGAGCAAACGGGG
rnacentral:rRNA from 1 species